rnacentral:rRNA from 1 species
CCUACGGGGGGCAGCAGUCGGGAAUAUUGCGCAAUGGAGGAAACUCUGACGCAGUGACGCCGCGUAUAGGAAGAAGGUUUUCGGAUUGUAAACUAUUGUCGUUAGGGAAGCUAAAAGACUGUACCUAAGGAGGAAGCCCCGGCUAACUAUGUGCCAGCAGCCGCGGUAAUACAUAGGGGGCAAGCGUUAUCCGGAAUUAUUGGGUGUAACGGGUGCGUAGACGGAAGGACAAGUUGGUUGUGAAAUCCCUCGGCUCAACUGAGGAACUGCCUCUGAUACUGUUCGGCUAGAGAGUAGUUGCGGUAGGCGGAAUGUAUGGUGUAGCGGUGAAAUGCUUAGAGAUCAUACAGAACACCGAUUGCGAAGGCAGCGUACCAAGCUACUUCUGACGUUGAGGCACGAAAGCGUGGGGAGCAAACAGGAUUAGAUACCCUGGUAGUC